rnacentral:rRNA from 1 species
GAUGAACGCUGGCGGCGUGCCUAAUACAUGCAAGUCGAGCGAACAGACGAGGAGCUUGCUCCUCUGACGUUAGCGGCGGACGGGUGAGUAACACGUGGAUAACCUACCUAUAAGACUGGGAUAACUUCGGGAAACCGGAGCUAAUACCGGAUAAUAUAUUGAACCGCAUGGUUCAAUAGUGAAAGACGGUUUUGCUGUCACUUAUAGAUGGAUCCGCGCCGCAUUAGCUAGUUGGUAAGGUAACGGCUUACCAAGGCAACGAUGCGUAGCCGACCUGAGAGGGUGAUCCGCCACACUGGAACUGAGACACGGUCCAGACUCCUACGGGAGGCCGCAGUAGGGAAUCUUCCGCGAUGGGCGAAAGCCUGACGGAGCAACGCCGCGUGAGUGAUGAAGGUCUUCGGAUCGUAAAACUCUGUUAUUAGGGAAGAACAAAUGUGUAAGUAACUAUGCACGUCUUGACGGUACCUAAUCAGAAAGCCCCGGCUAACUCCGUG